AGGAUUAACGUUGGCGGCGUGCAUAACACAUGCAAGUUGAGCGUGGCUUUGGAUUUAUUCAAAGUCUAGCAGCGGACGGCUGAGUAAUGCACAGGAACAUAACUCGAAGUGGGGCAUAGCUCCGGGAAACCGGAGGUAAUACCGCAUGUGCUCGCAAGAGUAAAGCCGCAAGGCGCUUUGAGAAUGGCCUGUGUCCUAUCAGAUUGUUGGUGAGGUAAUGGCUCACCAAGUCUAUGACGGGUAGCUGGUCUGAGAGGAUGACCAGCCAGAUCGGGACUGAGACACGGCCCGAACUCCUACGGGAGGCAGCAGUUGGGAAUUUUGCGCAAUGGACGAAAGUCUGACGCAGCGACGCCGCGUGCAGGAUGAAGGCCUUAGGGUCGUAAACUGCUUUUGCGAGGGAGUAAUUUUGAACGUACCUCGAGAAUAAGCACCGGCUAACUCCGCGCCAGCAGCCGCGGU
rnacentral:rRNA from 1 species